rnacentral:lncRNA from 1 species
UGCCGCGAAAAUCCCAUGAGGUAUUCAAUGCAAAUUAGAACUAAACAGUAUAUAUAUUCAGAACAUAAAGCAGAAUUGAAACGCGUUUGUAUCAAUACAUCGAGUGGCUUCGCUUGCAACAUUUACUCCAGAAGACCUCCGAAAAAGUCUGAAUCUUCUGUUCUGAUAAGACGACAAAAACAGACAAGCCAAGAUGAAACGAUUAUUGUUGGCCCUCCUUGUUCUUAUGAUGGUAUCCAUAGAUGUUCAAGGGUUUAAUCGGCAAUGCCUUACAGGGUGUCGAACCCAACAGAUGGAAUGCCAAGUUACCAUGAAUAAGUGUAACACUCCAGAGGAGUGCAACACAAACUGCCUGAUGCCCUCAUUACAGUGUGCAGAGGGUUGCCGCAGAAAGAGAGAAGUGCUAUCAAAGUUCUUCCGAGAUUACAAUGAAGAAAAGUAGAACUGUUCCACAUGAACCACAAUUAUGCGUUUGUUUCGUUUCUGUUUUUAAAGAAAUAAAUUACUGGUGUAAAUCUUCCCUCUUAGUUUGUUUGUGUAAUGUACCCGCAUUAUGUUGCUGCAAUUGAUAAAAGCAUGCAACCUUAGAAUUUUACUGUUUUAUGCGAAUAAAUGUUGAGUUUGUUAUUACCUCAAUACCGAUUUCUCGAAUUCUCUAUUAAUACUUUAGAUAAUUGUAUCAAGUAUUAUUAACGUUCGAAAUAUAACUAAAAUCUCCAGUUAAAAGUCCGCGGACGAUUAUCUCGGACAAAUGUCGCCUGACAUUCAAUAAAUGAUGAGCUUGUCUA